CAUCCAUCUUCGCGUCGGCCCUGUGAAGUCGCCACCGUGAUUAGCCUCAGUUUUCAGAGGCAGAUGCUGAGAUUCAGAAAGAUAAAGCGACUUGCCUGCAGUCGCAGGUCAGACUGGUGAAUACUUGUGUUACCAGGCAGUUGGCACCCAAGGCCCCGAAAGGGAAGAACAGAGCUUUCAACUCUUUCAUCAUCAAAGACACUUAUGGAGUAUAGGCAGUCUCUUCUACCAUUACAUGUGGAGCGUAUAGGAGGAGAAGAGAAAGGGACAGAGGACUGAACUUUGGGAAUGCCAGCAUUUGGCAAGGCAGCAGAGGAAAAGAAGGCCAAGAGGAAAACUAAGAAGAAACAGAGAAUAAAAGAAGAUCAGGAGAGAGUAAUGUCAUGGAAGAAAUCCAAGGGAGGAAAGAUUUUCAAGGAAGAAAAUGUGGUCAGCAACCUCAAAUGUAGCAAAGACUUCCAAAGUCAAGGCAAAAAGUUAUCCUUUGAGUUUGGCAACAUAGAGGUCAUGGAUCCCCAUGAUAUGAUCUAUAUCAGCAGGAAAUGGAGGCAGAAGCCAUAGUGAAUUGAGGAAAGGAAAAUGAGGAAGUAGAAUAAGUAAGUGCAGGGUCCCCUUUUGAGGAAUAUGGAAGAAAGAAUAGACAGUAGAUGAAAAGUGAUAUAAAGUUAAAGAGAUUCUGAUUUUGUCUUUUUUUUUUUAAAGAUGGUGAAUACUUGAACAUGGGUGUGAACUACAAAAAGAUACCAGUAGAGAAAAUGAAUUUCAAAGUAAAAAAGAAGGUGAGAGAUCCUGGAGGUGAUGAGAGGAGGCAGGAUCAUGGGCUCAUGUAGAAGAAUUGGACACCUGAACUUUACAGGCUGAAGGGAUAGGGGCAAGGAUAGGGGGUAGGUCGGGUAAUUAAUAAGGUGGGAGCAAGCAAGAGGUUUAGGUAUUUCAUGCCUAGUGAUAUCAUUAUUUUCAAAGUCUUGGGCCGAGGAAGGGAAGGAGGGUUGGUUGGAGAACAAGGAAAACCUUGCAAGAUAAAUAUCCUGUCAUGAACAUGUUGUUGUUGCCUUUGUUGUUAUCUGUGCAGCAUCCUUUCCCCCUCUAAUUAGUAACAGCACAUCAGUUUUCUGUGAAGACCCAUGCCCUCCCCAGUCUAAGUCCAUGUGGUUCAGAUGGGUAUCAUCCCAGCCCCACAACCCACUUUAAUGGUGGGCUCCUAACCCAGGUCAAAGUGAUUAAUUCAAAGAUAGGCACGUGACUGUGUUUGAGCCAGUGAAAAUAGAUCCAAGAAUUUUCCUGCAACUGUUGGGCAGGAGGUGCUGGUAGAAUGUAAGCCUGGUCUUAUCUUGCUAUCAGGUGGGAUGAGCUUGCCUGAGAAUGAAGCCAACUCAAAGAAAGCACAGCUAAGGGAUGGAGAGGGACAGAUGCCUGAUAACAUCAAUUUAAUAGCUAUUUACCUUUUCCUGAAGUCAUAUGAGCUGAUUUUUUUUUUUUUUUUUUGCUUACACCACUUUAAGGUGGGUUUUCUUGUUUGCAACCAAGAGUUAUGAUGAAUACAUGAGACAGAUAUUGCCUGUUGGUACUCAGCCCCACAUCCAGUCUUCUAUAAUCUCCUCUGUACCAACGAGGUUGGAAAUCUGAAAACCAUAUUUUACAGAUUUCUGUGUC